GUGCAUGUUUCGUUGCCCUGCCUUCUCGGUGUACGUGAGCAGUGUUACUUCUUGCAUGCUGUACAGAUAGUUGAAGGUUAAUUAGCAGUACAAGUAAACCGUAAUGCUGUCUGUCUCCUUCAGACAAAU